AUCGCUUCUCGGCCUUUUGGCUAAGAUCAAAGUGUAGUAUCUGUUCUUAUCAGCUUAAUAUCUGAUACGUUCCCCACUGGGGAACUUCGAUAUUAAACUGAUUUUUGGAACUGGGAGAAGAUGCAGGAGCUUGCUCCGACUUCUCCACGGGUUGGCCCGGUAUUGCAGUACCUCCGGGAUCGGCCCACUCCCA
rnacentral:snRNA from 1 species